UUCAGAUGGCGAGACAAUCAAGUUUGGAUUGGCCUCUGGUGGACUGGAUAACAGACUGAGGAUAUGGAUUAUUUCCCAGCAUGCAACAGCAGUCUUCUGCUGUCCUCUGAUGUGUGCAGUUCUCAUUUGAUGGACAGCUGCUCGUCUCUGGCAGGUGGAUCUGUGGUGUCAGAUUCUGAUCUCAGUGUAUGAUACAGCAGUACAUAAAAAAUAAAUCCAUAACCUGCUGGAUCUGAACAGAUUUAAAGAACAACAGUCUGUCUGGGCUCAGAUGCUAGUUAUA